AAACUUGUCUGCAAAAAACCAAACAAAACAAAAAACAAAAGCCCAAGUGAAAACCGCGGCGAUCUGCAUGAUUAUAAAGGGUUCAAACAUAUCCGAAAAGUUUUAUUUUUACAGUUCCGACCUUCAGUACCUAUCUCGCAUCUUUUAAGAAUCUCCUCAGCCAGUGAACAGAUUCGUUGGUUUAAGAGUGACUGUGAAGGAUCUGCAAGAGCUUCCAUCAUGUGUUGAUUAAUGAAUUAAAACCUCGCCACACGGCUAAUAGCUAGACCCAGCAUUGCGGAGCCUACCCGGAGCACUGCACGCUGUUGGAGGACUACAUCAGCAAAUCACUGGCUAAUAAAGACAGGCAGCAACAGCA
rnacentral:lncRNA from 1 species